GAAGGAUGGUCUGACACGAGCUCAGAAUUUGGGAGGUGGGAGUUGGAGGCCUCUACUCUGCCACUGACUCCCUGUGCAACCCUAGGCAACUCCCUCAGCCCCUAUUUCCCAUGUGAAAAAGUGGGCUAUUGGGACCUGCCUUCUGUGCAGGGAGGAUUGGAGGGGGAUAUGCGUGUGGGCGGGGGUGCUGGAGGACAGAUUUAAUGCAGAGGAGCAAGAGGAGGCAUUUGGGGGGUUAGAAAUCAGCUCAGGACUCCUGCCAAGUCCACCCCGUCUCCCCCCUCACAUGCACAUUUUUUUCAAGACAACGGGCAUGGGGAGAAGAGCAAGGUGUCCAUCUCACACAUGGGUCUAGGCUGGGAUUUUUAGGCCUUUGGGACCCCUCCCGCUCGGCUCAGGUGAAAAUCACUUUGCCUGAAAGCUCUUUGGGGAAACAAUCUGCUGUUUUCGUUGUAUUUUGUGCAGCGCCUGGCACGUGCCAGGAGCUCCUGCAAAGCUCAGUAACCAACUUAUGAUAAAACAUCUCAACCCAGUUGCUUCUGCCACUAAAUCAAAAGGUAACAGGGCGUAGGGAAGCCCUGCGCGACUCCCCACUGCUGACCCCGAGUGUUAGGACCGUCUGUUAGCAGACAGCAGUUUAUCUUCCAGUCAUAGCACAAAUGCUGCGGUAACGUGUGCGGCACCGGCCUGCAGCCUAAGCCCUUUCUUCCAACCAGUACGGCGGUCCCCAUUUGCCCUGACCCUUGUGCAUGAAUGCAGGAUCCCACUUGUUUGAUUUUUUUUGCACCUCGUCGGGUAACUGAUGGUUGUCUAGGAGCUGCAAGGAAGGCUGGGUGGCGUUUCUGCCUAGUGAUGAACGCCUGCGAGUUAUUGCACCAUAAUCCUCAACCACGUCGUUGCAGCAUUUGGCUUGAGAGGAAAAGCCGAGGAUGACAAAGCGGCUGCGUCUGGGGCUGGUGCCGGGAAGCCUGCUGAAGCUUUCCCGUGUCAGCGUGACGCGCCGUGACAUGGCAAAGCACGGUACGGCCCUCAACUCUUUUCUUUGCAGGGGACUGAGUGGCAGCAAGAAAAAUGAGGGACUUUCAGGGGCAGCUGUGUUUUACUAACCCAGUCAUAAUGCCCCUAAAAAUCCUUAUUGUUCUUGCAAUGUUCAACUGUAACCUGCAGUGCCAGGAAGCCCGGGGGGGUAAGUACCAGCUCUGUGCAACCGGAGGGCUUGUCGUUUUGGAGGGAUGUUUGCAAACCGGUAACUUGUUUGUAAAGGGCCGGGGCUGGGGCUUCUUUUUUUUCUUUCUCCUGCAAAAGCAAAUCUGGAAAGGAGCAGCUGUCAUGAGGUGUCUGAUGGACAGUGUCUCCUUUAUGCUCCGAUCCCAAGCAACGCUAAUAGUGUACGGAGGAAACAAAACUGAAACUGAGCUAUUUUAUCCUCUCGGCUGAUUCACCGGAGUGAAAUGCCAAAAGCAAACAGACGGUGUAAAGGAGUAAGAAUGUAUUCACACCUACCCCCACGUACUCACACACCCACGUACCCCCCCACCCCCACACACGCAUCCCCACACAAGCUUUUUUUUUUUUUUAUAACUACCAGCAAUCUUGUUUGCAGGACGUACGGCAAAGCAUGUGUGCAGGUACCAGAGGGACCGGACCCUCAGGUGGUGCAAACCUGCAUUUCUGCGCUGCCGGCAGCAGAGGCACAGUGGUUAAUACCUGCUGAGAUCCUGGCUUGUAAAUGUUUACAGCUUUUCUUAAUUAAAAUAUUCCUGUACACCCAGUUUGCUGGCAGAUUUCAAAGCCCAGCCCUGCAGACACUCAUGCUUAGACGCCUUUAUGGGAUUUCAAGCGACUAUGCCACAGUGUAGCUUUAGAUCAUUAGCAUUAAACAAAAACUAUUCGUAGCACAUAAUAUUGCUGGUAUCUUAUACAAGUGAGUGUUCGCACACGUGCAGAUCUCCUUCCAUUGCUUUCUUCUCAGGGGCUUCAUCUCUAAAACCUUCACUUAACUCUUUAGCCGGGAGGACCCAGCAAUCAACACCUUUGUGAAGGUGUCGCGGUCCCCUGCCUUUUCUCCCAAGCAAAGGGCCCGAGGAGCAGCAGCUGCAAACAAAGCUGAAAGGAAAGGGCUGAAGGUGCAACCUGUAUAGGAAAAGUGGAGGAAGAGGAUGACUGUUAAUUGGAAAUUAGCUCUAGAUGCAGAUUUGCAAGGCAACCCAGAUUCAAGUCCUGAUUCACCAGGAUCUUCAGCAGGGCGUUUUAGGACUCGCCCUGAACCACUGAAGUCCCUGGGAGUUUUGGUCGAAGCAUAAAGGGGCCGGGAUUGGAGGAGAGGAGGUGACAGUGAAGUCCCGGCCCCGUGUAGAUGGGGUUCCCUGAAUACUUCCUGCCUCGUUUGCAUUGCUAACCUGAGCCCCUCCCGUGAUCCAACCCUAAGGAGAGAUUGUGUCAUCUGCUACCUUGCUUUGGUCCUUGAACUCUAACCUCUUUUAUCCCCUCUAAUGACCUGCAGGGCCCUGCUGCUACGAACCUCUUGACUGUCCGGCCUGGAGACUGCACGGACAGUCGGUAGUCACCUGAGAUGAAGAUAGCAGCAGCAGAGGAGGGCACUUCUGAUGGGAGUGUGCACCGGUCACAGGUGUGAAGGUAGCCGGUUUGAGAAUAAAGGCUACGAUGUCCGAUCAGAUCAGAAUGAGGGUCUCCAGCCUCCAGCACAAAAGCAUCCCGCUCCUGGAUCUGAACCUGAAAGAGACCCCUCGGAUCACGUCAUCCAAGAGUCUUCCUAAGAAAAGCCACCGAGCGCACCAGUGAUUCUUGCAUCAACCCCUGCAGUUGGUGCCGGGACCAGAUCGUGUCUUUUAGAAAGAUGCCAGCGUAAAGACCGCUGCAGUCUGUUGCAAUGCCUAAUUACCCUCGCUUUGGGCUGGCUUUCGGGGUUGAAAAAGUGGACUGCUGCCUACACCAGAGAGAUGCGAGGGGCCGCAAAAGAUGGGGUGUGGGAGAGUAACUUGACAAAUAUGAAACCCUUUGGAUGUCAGCAAUAGCCGUUUUCUGUUCAAAUUGGCAAAACGGGACUUGCUGUCAGAAGAGAGCAGAUGACAGGCAGCCCUUUGUGUUUUGGAGGAGUCGGUUUGUACUUGGUUGUGCAGAAGUGCCUGCAAGUGCUUGUGUGCGUGUGUGUAUGUACGUGUGUGUAUAUGUAACUGGACAGUAGUGGUCUCCAGCAAGCCAGUGAAUCGGCCGUCCGGAUUGAACGUGAAAGCCACAGCGACAGGCUUUGCCGCGAACAAAAUCAUCUCUCCCAGAGCUGAGUAUCGCUAAGGAGAAGCUCAAAGAGACGAAAUAGUCUAAAGAUGAUGAGAUUUCGGAAAUCAGCCGUUUUACUUCUAACGGAUGGAUCAGACUCUUCUAGUCAUGAACCUCCUUCCACCCAAAAUGUUAGUACGGGUACUCUUCGCUUAACGUCGUCCCGGUUAACGUCGUUUCGUUAUGAUGUCGCCGAUCUAUUGGAGAACAUACUCAUUUAAGGUUGCUCAGUGCUCGGUUACACCGCUGUUUGGCCACCGCCUGCUAGUAGGUAACUACUGUGACGGAAUUGGAUUUGCUUAGCAUCGUUUCGCUUGAAGUCGCAUUUUUCAAGGACGUAACUACGACAUUAAGCGAGGAGUAGCUGUAAUCCUGCUUCUGCAGACAGACUUCUUCGCAAGGAGGGUUUUCUUCAGCUAGAAAGGGAGCGACAUGAAGAAAAUAGCACCAGUGGGACCGCUUCGUUGGUGGAGACGUCCAAGUCUACGCACCAAAAACUGGAUGCCGUCAUGCAGUUAUUCAGGGAAUACGGAGAACCUACAGAAGGACCGAUGCCCUGCAAGCUUGUCGCACGUCUCAUGAUCAGUGACAGGUUUGCUGACUGCUUGUGAAUGCCGGGCCAGCCCGUUGUAAGGAUUUGCCCUUAAAUAAGAAUAAAAGAAAAUUUCAGCUUUCAGUCUUUGUGACAGAUUUCAAGUAGAGACUGUGAAGUGAAGUGAGACGGGUUUCUCCGUGCCACUUCCACUGAUUUUGUUUGCUUCUGUUGCAAGUUAACAGCUCCAGAGAUUUUGCUUUAUCCCAGAAUGGUGUUUGGGACUGGAAAAGCGUAUCGAGUAUCCCAGCAAAACAUGGGACUGGCAGAUCAUGUGGACAGCAAUGAAAUGUGAAACGACUUAGAAAUUAGACUGAAACACAAUUGCUUAAUUGAUUUAAAAAAAAAAAAAAA